UACGGAGGGGACUAGCGUUGUUCGGAAUUACUGGGCGUAAAGCGCACGUAGGCGGAUUUGUAAGUCAGGGGUGAAAUCCUGGAGCUCAACUCCAGAACUGCCUUUGAUACUGAAGAUCUUGAGUACGGGAGAGGUGAGUGGAACUGCGAGUGUAGAGGUGAAAUUCGUAGAUAUUCGCAAGAACACCAGUGGCGAAGGCGGCUCACUGGCCCGUUACUGACGCUGAGGCACGAAAGCGUGGGGAGCAAACAGG
rnacentral:rRNA from 1 species